rnacentral:rRNA from 1 species
CGAGGAAUUUUCCGCAAUGGGCGAAAGCCUGACGGAGCAACGCCGCGUGGGGGAAGAAGGCCUUCGGGUUGUAAACCCCUGUUGCGAGGGAAGAAGAUCUGACGGUACCUCGCGAGGAAGCCACGGCUAACUACGUGCCAGCAGCCGCGGUAAUACGUAGGUGGCAAGCGUUGUCCGGAUUUACUGGGCGUAAAGGGCGCGUAGGCGGUGUGUCAAGUCAGUUGUGAAAUCUCCGAGCUUAACUCGGAACGGUCAACUGAUACUGUCACACUAGAGUACAGAAGGGGCAAUCGGAAUUCUUGGUGUAGCGGUGAAAUGCGUAGAUAUCAAGAGGAACACCUGAGGUGAAGACGGGUUGCUGGGCUGACACUGACGCUGAGGCGCGAAAGCCAGGGGAGCAAACGGGAUUAGAUACCCACGUAGUCCCUGAGCGGGCUGGCAAGGCGCAU